rnacentral:rRNA from 1 species
UACAGAGGGUGCAAGCGUUGUUCGGAAUUAUUGGGCGUAAAGGGCGCGUAGGCGGUGCGGUAAGUCUGUAGUGAAAUCUCUGGGCUCAACUCAGAGUCGGCUGCAGAAACUGCCGUGCUUGAGUGUGGGAGAGGUGAGUGGAAUUCCCGGUGUAGUGGUGAAAUGCGUAGAGAUCGGGAGGAACACCUGUGGCGAAGGCGGCCGGCUGGGGGUACCCUGACGCUGAGGCGCGACAGCGUGGGGAGCGAACCGG